CAUUGGUCUAGGAAAAUUUUCUUUCUAGCUCUGCGACGAAGGAACAUAGCUUAACCGAAUUAAAGAGAAACUUACUUCCUGAAAAAUUAAACAAGAUAUGUGAGCUUUCUAAGGAGUAACUAUUAUUGCACAACACACACAUUCACACAAAUGUGUAAAUAUAUAUCAAUCUAGUCAUCCGACUAGUUAUAUGCUCACGCAGCCAGUCACACAAAUGGCAUAUCACCAGCACUCACAAUCAUAAAC
rnacentral:lncRNA from 1 species